CUGCUGGAGUGCGGGGGCGACCUCCAGCCCCCCGGGGGGUCCCUGACUCUCCUCUGCCGCACCUCCGGGUUUUAUUUUGGAAGCUCUGACAUGAGCUGGGUUCGCCAGAGUCCUGGGAAGGAACUGGAAUGGGUUGUGAGUAUCAGCAACACCGGUGGCAGCACCUGGUACGCGCCGUCGGUCAAGGGCCGGUUCUCGAUCUCCAGGGACAACGGGCAGAGCUCGGUGACGCUGACCAUGAACGACCUCAAGGACGAGGAUUCCGUCGUUUAUUUCUGCGCCAAAUCUGUUGACAGUUGCUGCGCUGGUAUUGCUGCUGUUGAUGAUAUCAUGACCCGGUCCAGCACUGACGACGCGUAG